UCUGGACAGACAAGGCUGACACCUAGUGACGGGAUGGAUUUAUUCCUAAGGGGAUUCACCGAGUCCUGGUUCAGUGACUGUUCAGUCAUUUCUAAAUCCGGAAGGUUUAAACUUCAAAUUGGGUAGUCCAUUUGUUUCAUCAUCACUUUUGGACUUUAUUUUCAGUGUUUCUAGUGUACUCUUCUAAAGGUCACGUUAAGGUGGCUUGAAAGCUUGUUAAGUAUUGGAGCCAUGAAGGUUUUGCAUGUGUUCUGAGAGCGGUACCCUGCAGCUGCCCAAAGCAACCGGGAGAUGGCUGAUAGCAGUCAGUAGGGGUACUGCUAAAAUGAGAGUGGAGACUUAGCUUUGCCUCUCCAGAGAUAAAGCCUUGCAAGCAGCCACGAUCCCUUCCCUGAGCCUUUCUCUGUCACGAUGACAAGUAUCUCACUGCUGUCAGGCCCGCGUAGGAAAUCCACACAGCGACGCGGAGAAUGUUUAUUGUGGAGGGAGAACUUUUGCCCUGUGAAGUCACCUCCUACCAGUCACCAGACCAGCUCCACUCCGCAGCAAGCUCCUCACCUUCCCCUCCUGCUCCCCCAGCUCUGCAGAUCUGGAUGCCUCUGGCCUCAGCUGCCACUUCGUCAUCCCGGCCGGCUCAGGAAAAGGAGUCAUUUGUUGCCUGAACAUUGGGCUGAGUUGGUAAAAGUGACCGAAAAUGAAUCCGUAGGUUAGUUCCAGACUUUGGAUUUUGCCUGUCCCUGGAAGACUCUGUGGCUAAACAGAAAUAACAAUACAGGAGUGAAAGCUGAGAAAUGCAAUUGAAAGGGUUUCUGCUAAUGGGGCAGCCCCAGCACUCUCCAAAAGGUACAGCACAUGACUCAGCAGCCUCUGCCAUGGCUAACACCAUACUGACUGCUGAGCGCUGAGUUACUUGGCCAUGAACCUGUGCAGACAACCAACCACAUGCUCUUCUUGUGGGCUCUUUGUGGAGGUGCCACCAGGUGUCUCUGAUCCCUGGGACCUGGGCUGUCUCCAUAAGAAGGGUGAGGAGACGUGGGUGGUCUGGGGAGAAGCUGCCACCAUCCCCAGAGAGAAAGGUAACAUCAAAGAGGGACCUCUGCUGUUGUUUUCCUUCCUGCAGCUAUGGGUUGGUGAGUGCUGUCAGAGGAGUGGUUGCAAGCUUCUGCAGUUCACUGAGCUGCCUCUGCUCCUGGGAGGGACAUAAAAGGUUAGCUGGACAGAAGUGUGUGUGCCAGAGCAGCAGGAACAAGCAGUCCUCCUGCAAGUGCCUGACAACCUCAUGUGAAGAACAAAUUCCUCGGCACACCCAGCAGCUGAUGCUGGUGCACUGCAGCCUGGGGUAGGCACCACGGUCUGUAGCACCAAGCAGGGUGCAGAGCAUCAGUGUUGAAGUAGUGAUGUGGAUUCAGGGCUUAUGUGGGUUUUGGAGCCUGGUUUGGUACGUGCACCAAUGGAGAUGUCUUUCAACAGUUCUUUGUUUCUCUUUCUUCUACUGCUUUAUCCCUUGAAUUUUACAGUAAGAGCUUAGGACAGGGGUAAGGCUUUUGCUCUGUGAAGUAUUGCAUGGCAAGAUGGCAGAAGGUAAGAACAGUAGGUAGAAGGUGAAGAACUUCUUAGGCCUGCAUUUCAGGCUCCUGAUCUCCCACGUAUCCAUAUUGUAAAGUCCCUUUCCAGCUGAUUUUCAGUUUCUCUGUAAUGAGAGGAGAAGCAUUUUGAAGAUUGGCUUUCCACACCAGAAGAGAUUAGAUAAAAAGAUGAUGCAAGCUCACUUUAAAGAAAGAAAAAAAAA